AUACGUAGGGAGCGAGCGUUAUCCGGAUUUACUGGGUGUAAAGGGCGAGUAGGCGGGCUGACAAGUCAGUUGUGAAAACUGGGGGCUUAACCCCCAGCCUGCAAUUGAAACUGUUGGUCUUGAGUGAUGGAGAGGCAGGCGGAAUUCCCAGUGUAGCGGUGAAAUGCGUAGAUAUUGGGAGGAACACCAGCAGCGAAGGCGGCUUUCUGGACUGUAACUGACACUGAGGCACGAAAGCGUGGGGAGC
rnacentral:rRNA from 1 species